UAAUGCUAGUUUAAAUUUCUAAGUCCAAUUGCCCAAACAAAUAGCCAGUCCCUAACCUACUCUGAUUAAACCUAAGAAAAUUUAACUCCAAACAAAAAUUUGUCCAAAAAAUUAGAAGAGGAAAAAGAGUGAGAAUGAAAUCCUAGAUCUACUCGCCGCCACCGUAUUCAUCUCUUCGCCAUUGUCACCAUCAAGCUUGCCGUAGCGUCUAAGGUCAGAGGGAGAGUAACCUCAUCGCUGUUGCCAUUCCUGUCCUCGUCGUUGUUGCCAUCAAGCUUCUAUAUCACUCCGUUGUCUCCUUCUAUUUCAGAAAUCAAUGAAAAGCUUAUGAUGAUAAACCAGUAAGGGGAAUACAUGAUUUUGAAUACAUCACCGAGGAAUUUAGUUACUAUUUCUUCUCUGUGUAUUUAAGUAAUGAAAUAUCUAACCGAAGAAGCUGAUUUGUGCAAGAAAAGGUAGCAAUACAUCACGAACCACUGUCAUCAUAGUUGUUGUUGCUGUUGCUGCUAUUGCUGCUAUUUUGGUGCUUAGUUCUGUGUAUGUCUAUUCAAGAAAGAAUUUUCAAACUGAUGAUUCGGAUGAAGAAAUCAUAGCUGAUGAAUCAUUACAGUUCUCCUUUGAUACUAUAUGAGUUGCUACAGAGGAUUUCUCAUAUUCUAAAAAACUAGGAGAAAGUGGAUUUGGAUCUGUUUAUAAGGGUAAGCUCUCCAAUGGACAAAUGAUUGCUGUGAAGAGGUUAUCAAAGGACUCAAGCCAAGGAGAUAUGAAAUUCGGGAAUGAAGUGUAGUUAUUAGCUGAGUUUCAACACCAAAAUUUAGUGAAGCUUCUUGGUUUUUGCUUGAAAGGAAGUGAAAGGCGGGUGCAAAAGUAAAUAUUAGUGCUGGUGGAGCAACUCCUUUACAUAUUACAACUGAUAAUGGCAGACUGAAAAUUAUAAAUUGCUUAUUGAAAGUUGGAGCUGAUCCUAAUGUGUUCGAUGAGAUGGUGUUAAGCCAAUACAAGUUGCGGCUGCAAGGGGCAAUCGUGGAGUUGUUGAGAUUUGUUCCCCUUGACAUCCAAGAUUGAUGCCAUUCCUAAUUGGACUAUUGAUGGAUAAUUGAGUAUAUGCAAUCCAAAAUUAAGAAGCAACAGUGACUUGUCCUACAAUAAUAUCAGUGGCCCUAUACUAAGAAUUUUAGCUAAAUCCUUCAAGUAAUAAAUCUCUUUUCCUUGAUUAUAUGGUGCAUUUGUUUCUAAUAGGCUUCAAGAAACCAAAAAAUUCAGUACUAACACAAGAGAAUGUUUUUAUUUUUCCUAUUAAUACUUUUUUAGCAUUGUUGGAAAUCCUCUUGUUUGUGCAACUGGAAAAGAAUCAAACUAUCUCAAGUAUUUCAUCUUUUUUCGAAUUAAUUGUGAAAUUGUGUCAUUGUUUUCAUGCUGACAUCAAUAAUUUGCUUCUUCCUUAGAUGUGUUACCAUCAAGCAAACCAAAAUAUUAUAAAAUGGCAAUUGCUUUUGGCUUGAGUCUUGGAUGUCUUUGCCUCAUAGUUACUCGGUUUUAACCUUGUUUUUUGGUGGAGGCACAAGCACAAUCAACAAGCAUUCUUUGAUGUUAAAGAAAAUGAUCACUUCAAGCUGUAGCAAUCCUACACAAAAUGUAGGUCUACCUAAUUCUAAUUGUCUCUCUUCUGGAUGUUAUUUAUUUGCUUUCUACCAUCUUACUACUCCUAAAAUUUCCAUUUUGAGUUUCUUAGGCAAAGGAAAACCCGUUCUUGUAUGAUAUUGUGGCAAAUGGUCGCAAUAGAAUUGAUGUUGAUAAGUUUGACUACAUUGUUCGUUAUUGUCGUGCUUGUGGCCUAGGUUGCAACUUUCAGCCUGAAAGGUAUUUAUUAGGAUGAAUGCUUUGAGUUUGACAUCCAGAAAUGUUAUUCUACUCUUGAUUCCUGAACUAUGCAGAAGCAUCUAUACUUUAUCCAUGUUUCUCCUUUCAAAAGGGAUGAUAAUUGAAAACAAUUUUAUUGUAUUUUGCAUAUUGAUGAAGACAAUGCAAGUCAUUGAUGAUGAAAUGUUAUCGUGUCAAAGAUUGUUAGUACAUUCUGAAAUAUUUGAGACUUUAUGUAAUUAGAUGAUAUUGAAUAUUGAAGUUGUUGUUUUAUUUUAUUUUUUAAAGAAAAACAGUAA